GAAGACCACGAGUUAUGAUCCAGAGUACCACGAGACACGUGAAACCUUGUGGGAAGCAGGGAGGACCACCUCCCAAGGCUAAAUACUACCUGAUGACCGAUAGUGAAGCAGUACCGUGAGGGAAAGGUGAAAAGAACCCCGGGAGGGGAGUGAAAUAGAACCUGAAACCGUGUGCCUACAACCGCUCAGAGCCCCUUAUGAGGGUGAUGAGGUGCUUUUUGUAGAACGAGCCAACGAGUUACGGUAUGUAGCAAGGUUAAGUACUUAAGGUACGGAGCCGAAGGGAAACCGAGUCUGAAUAGGGCGACUAGUUGCAUGCCGUAGACCCGAAACCGGGUGACCUAUCCAUGGCCAGGUUGAAGCGAGGGUAAAACCUCGUGGAGGACCGAACCACGUUGCUGUUGAAAAAGCAUGGGAUGAGCUGUGGAUAGCGGAGAAAUUCCAAUCGAACCCGGAGAUAGCUGGUUCUCUCCGAAAUAGCUUUAGGGCUAGCGUCGAGUAUGAGUAGUGGAGGUAGAGCACUGAAUGGGCUAGGGGGCAUAGCGCUUACCGAACCUUAUCAAACUCCGAAUGCCACAUACUUUGAGCUCGGCAGUCAGACUACGAAUGAUAAGAUCCGUGGUCAAAAGGGAAACAGCCCAGAUCGUCAGCUAAGGUCCCAAAGUGUAAGUUAAGUGGGAAAGGAUGUGAGAUUUCUAAGACAACUAGGAUGUUGGCUUAGAAGCAGCCAUUCAUUAAAAGAGUGCGUAAUAGCUCACUAGUCGAGAGAUCUUGCGCCGAAAAUGUAACGGGGCUAAACUUACCACCGAAGCUACGGGCUUGAACUUAGUUCAAGCGGUAGGAGAGCGUCGUAACCGGGCUGAAGUCGUACCGUAAGGAGCGGUGGACUGGUUACGAGUGAGAAUGUUGGCAUCAGUAGCGAGAUGUGGGUGAGAAUCCCACAGGCCGAAAACCUAAGGUUUCCUCAGGAAGGUUCGUCCGCUGAGGGUUAGUCGGGACCUAAGCCGAGGCCGAAAGGCGUAGGUGAUGGACAACUG
rnacentral:rRNA from 1 species